rnacentral:lncRNA from 1 species
UUCUACAACCAGAGGCUGUACCCAGACUGUCACAUAGAAGAUCCCUCCAGUGCCUCAUCAGUAUCUUCUUCACAGUAACUGUUGCCACAGUGUAUUUUUAAUCUUUAUUUUUUUAUUGGAAUGUCAAUUUAAAAAUUGCUGUGAUUUUAGAACAUGUAAGCUGAAAGGCUCAGCAGAAUGUGGUUCAGGACCAUGUUGCAGAUCAAACUGUGAGAUAUGUGAUAAUUUUGGUAAUUGCCAAUGCUUUCCAGACCACAGGCCCCCAGACUGUGAAUUCCGUCUUAGUUCACCAGGGGGCAGUAUUGACGAUGGAAAUGUUCAGAAAUCAGGAAUGCAUCCACUGCACCAGAAAGCUACCACGUGGAAUAUGAAGACUGCCAAGGUCGCCAGCAAAUGGCCUAAAGAAGAAAAUGAGCUUUAUAACCCUAAAGUCCCGCCCCAAAUACAGUUUAUAAAAUAAAGCUGUGAGUCCUCGGAGCAAACUGAUGGGUCAGCCAGGACCGCGGGCUGGGUGGGGGGCGGGAGGAACCAGGCUCAGGACCAGGAACCGCA